UGGGGAAUAUUGGGCAAUGGGCGCAAGCCUGACCCAGCAACGCCGCGUGAAGGAAGAAGGCUUUCGGGUUGUAAACUUCUUUUCUGAGGGACGAGGCAAGUGACGGUACCUUAGGAAUAAGCCACGGCUAACUACGUGCCAGCAGCCGCGGUAAUACGUAGGGAGCAAGCGUUGUCCGGAUUUACUGGGUGUAAAGGGUGCGUAGGCGGCUUUGCAAGUCAGAUGUGAAAUCUAUGGGCUCAACCCAUAAACUGCAUUUGAAACUGUAGAGCUUGAGUGAAGUAGAGGCAGGCGGAAUUCCCCGUGUAGCGGUGAAAUGCGUAGAGAUGGGGAGGAACACCAGUGGCGAAGGCGGCCUGCUGGGCUUUAACUGACGCUGAGGCACGAAAGCGUGGGUAGCAAACAGGAUUAGAUACC
rnacentral:rRNA from 1 species